CCGUAAAAUAUCUUGUGCCCACACUGAAAAUUAAGUUUCAGGAACUGACAUCUUGCCAGUUUUGGCCAACUGUUGCUGUGCAGAACCCAGUUUUAGUUACAGAAGCAAUGAAAGUGUUGCUACUGCUCCCAACAAAAUAUGUAUGUAAAGCAUUAUUGUCUGCCAUGACAGCUAUGAAGACAAAGUUCAG